rnacentral:rRNA from 1 species
AGGGCUUUGACAUAUACAGGAAUGUUGUUAGAGAUACAGCAGCCGCUUGCGGUCUGUAUACAGGUGCUGCAUGGCUGUCGUCAGCUCGUGCUGUGAAGUGUUGGUUAAGUCCCGCAACGAGCGCAACCCUAUCAUCUGUUGCCAGCAUUUAAGGUGGGGACUCAGAUGAGACUGCCGGUGACAAACCGGAGGAAGGUGGGGACGACGUCAAGUCAUCAUGGCCCUUAUGUCCUGGGCUACACACGUGCUACAAUGGCCGGUACAGAGUGAAGCGAAACCGCGAGGUGAAGCAAAACGCAGAAAGCCGGUCUCAGUACGGAUUGGAGUCUGAAACUCGACUUCAUGAAGUUGGAAUCGCUAGUAAUCGCGCAUCAGCAUGGCGCGGUGAAUACGUUCCCGGGCCUU